UGGCCUCAAAUUUCCAAAGCCCUCUCUCCUUCCCUUUUUGCCCUAGUUUCUUGAAACUAACACUCGCCUCUCUCUUUCCCUUCAUGCACAAAGAUGGAACUUGACGACUAAGAACCUGCGAUAAAGAACAAACGAGCAGCUCUGAAGCAAUAGGAAACAAUUGGAGUGAAGAAUUUCAUGCUUUGCAAAAACCCAAUAGUUUAGGAAUUUUAUCCCUUUUGCAAGAAAAAGCUCUUCUUUUUUUUAUUUUGUGAUUCUUGACACGGGUUUGGUUCGAAGUUGCUUGUUUUGUUGGAGAUAUAGGGUUUAGACUUAUGUUCAUCGAGUUUCUUUUAAUUUAGUUAAAUUAUGUAAUACCCUUGUUCAAUUUCUUUUAAAUUAAUUAAGUAUAUUGCAUUUAUUUUGAAUUUCAAGUGGAUUUUAGAUCUGUUUUUUUGUAUUCCCUUCAAUUAAAGAUUUGGAGCUUAGCCGUUUUGAUUCAACAGUAAAGAAAAGAAAGAUGCUGAAGCUAGGAACACUAGGGUUCUGGUGUCGCUGCAGUUGCAUUUAACCCUACUUAUUGAAGAAUUGUGCACAAUGCUAUCAAGUUUUGGUGGGAGGCUGGUGGCUAUACACAGAGUGUUGUUUCACUAAAACAAUGUGAUCGCGGUUCCAGAUGCUAAUUUUCAUUCUCUCCCUUCCACUCGGCACAAACAACACUAUAUCCUUAGAUUAGAUAACAUGACUACUAGAAGGUACAAAUGUCAGGAGGCGAAAGCAUAUGUAAGAUUAUCACGUGAUAUGUUGGGAAAAGGAAUAAGUCAACCCCGGUAAAUAUUGGACAUAUUACACGUCGGACACUAAAUAGGGUGAUAUAGGCAAAAUCCUAGUUUGUUGAAAACUAAAAUCUAAGUUGGAGAUGAAGUUUUCCACAAAAGCAUUCUAAACUCUACCGAGACUAUAGCAAGAGGAAGGGUCUAGAGCUUGGACCCAAAUGAUCUAGUUGGUGGUACAAAGAUUGAACCAGAAUGGUGUGAGGUAAACGCUCAAGUACCAAUAAAAAAUAUUAAAACUUGGUAAAACCAUAUGGUUUAUUUUCUACAAUUCAAGAUUGUAUUAGUGCAUCAUCCAUCGCAUGGCCCUAUCCAUUCAUCUCGGUAGUUCAUGAGGAUUGAGGACGCAUGAUGACUCAAGAUUUUAUGCUUCUUUUUUCUUUAAUUGCUUUAAUUUCUUUGUUAAAUGUUAAGAUUUUAUGUCAGAUAAUGUUAUAACUUAUUUAUGGUUAGUGUUUUUGUUAU
rnacentral:lncRNA from 1 species